GAUGAACGCUAGCGGCAGGCUUAACACAUGCAAGUCGAGGGGUAUAGGUUUUCGGACCUAGAGACCGGCGCACGGGUGCGUAACGCGUAUGCAAUCUACCUUUCACAGAGGGAUAGCCCAGAGAAAUUUGGAUUAAUACCUCAUAGUAUAGCAGUUUCGCAUGAAACCACUAUUAAAGUUCCAACGGUGAAAGAUGAGCAUGCGUCCCAUUAGCUAGAUGGUAAGGUAACGGCUUACCAUGGCUACGAUGGGUAGGGGUCCUGAGAGGGAGAUCCCCCACACUGGUACUGAGACGCGGACCAGACUCCUACGGGAGGCAGCAGUGAGGAAUAUUGGACAAGGGGCGCAAGCCUGAUCCAGCCAUGCCGCGUGCAGGAAGACGGUCCUAUGGAUUGUAAACUGCUUUUGUACAGGAAGAAACACUCCCUCGUGAGGGAGCUUGACGGUACUGUAAGAAUAAGGAUCGGCUAACUCCGUGCCAGCCGCCGCAGUAACAC
rnacentral:rRNA from 1 species